rnacentral:rRNA from 1 species
GUGCCAGCCGCCGCGGUAAUACGUAGGUGGCGAGCGUUGUCCGGAUUUACUGGGCGUAAAGAGCGCGCAGGCGGUCGUACAAGUCGCGUGUGAAAGCCCCCGGCUCAACUGGGGAGGGUCACGCGAUACUGUUCGACUCGAAGGCAGGAGAGGGAAGUGGAAUUCCCGGUGUAGUGGUGAAAUGCGUAGAUAUCGGGAGGAACACCAGUGGCGAAGGCGACUUCCUGGCCUGUUCUUGACGCUGAGGCGCGAAAGCUAGGGUAGCAAACGGGAUUAGAUACCCCCGUAGUCC